UAAUUUUGAAUUUCUCUUUUUGACUUACAUGAUUAUGCAUGAUGUAUCAAAACUUUACUCGUAGCCUAAUAAAUGUCGCUAGUAAAAUCUCUGUUAUUUUACUUCUUCAAUGUUGGCGGGUAUGUAUUACAUUCAUGUGAUUGAUCAUUGUUUUGAAUGUACAUACAUUUAUUUUGCAGCUGCUGUGAAUUCUUUGGCUAAGUUUGGCGCUCACUGUGAAGAGCUUCUCCCAAAUAUUUUAGUCCUUCUGCAGAGGAGCUUCCAGGAUUGUGAUGAUGAAGUGAGAGCAACCUACUAUUUAAAUAUCCUAAAUCAGAAACAAAAAGGACUCCCAAUUCAUCUUGAAUGAUCAAUUAUCGGCAGUUCCGGAACUCUCUUCAUUGAACUUGGGUCCAUUGUUUAAAUCUUCUCUUCCUAUUGAACUCACUGAGUCUGAGACUGAGUUUGUUGUUCGAUGCAUUAAACACACAUUCACUCACCAUGUUGUGUUGCAGUAAGUGGAACCUUGAGUAACACAUUAAAGUACUGAGUUGAGAUUGUGAUCUAAACUGUGGGGAACCAGAUGAUGAAGAAGAUGAAU